rnacentral:tRNA from 1 species
CAGGCAGGGCGCAUCGUUCGGGACGAUGAGGCCGUGGGUUCAAAUCCCACCAGCCCGACCA